AAUUUAGCAGCGGUCUAAGAGAUCCCCUUUGCUUUAACAUGGGGGUACCUGCUAUGUAAAACAAAAGUAAGUGCUUCCAUGUUUCAGUGGAGGUGUCUCCAAACCGGCACACUUUUGUUU
rnacentral:precursor_RNA from 15 species